UACGAGGGGGGCGAGCGUUGUUCGGAAUUAUUGGGCGUAAAGGGUGCGUAGGCGGUUUGGUAAGUCUUGUGUGAAAUCUACAGGCUCAACUUGUAGUCUGCACGAGAAACUGCCGGGCUUGAGUGUGGGAGAGGUGAGUGGAAUUCCUGGUGUAGCGGUGAAAUGCGUAGAUAUCAGGAGGAGCACCUGUGGCGAAAGCGGCUCACUGGACCAUAACUGACGCUGAUGCACGAAAGCUAGGGGAGCAAACAGG
rnacentral:rRNA from 1 species